rnacentral:rRNA from 1 species
UACGGAGGGGGCUAGCGUUGUUCGGAAUUACUGGGCGUAAAGCGCACGUAGGCGGCUUUGCAAGUUAGAGGUGAAAGCCCGGGGCUUAACCCCGGAAUUGCCUUUAAAACUGCAUCGCUAGAAUUGUGGAGAGGUGAGUGGAAUUCCGAGUGUAGAGGUGAAAUUCGUAGAUAUUCGGAAGAACACCAGUGGCGAAGGCGACUCACUGGACACAUAUUGACGCUGAGGUGCGAAAGCGUGGGGAGCAAACAGG